rnacentral:rRNA from 1 species
UAAUACGAAGGGGGCUAGCGUUGCUCGGAAUUACUGGGCGUAAAGGGCGCGUAGGCGGACAGUUUAGUCAGAGGUGAAAGCCCAGGGCUCAACCUUGGAAUAGCCUUUGAUACUGACUGUCUUGAGUACGGGAGAGGUGUGUGGAACUCCGAGUGUAGAGGUGAAAUUCGUAGAUAUUCGGAAGAACACCAGUGGCGAAGGCGACGCACUGGCCCGUUACUGACGCUGAGGCGCGAAAGCGUGGGGAGCAAACAGG